UGAGGAAUAUUGGUCAAUGGGCGCAAGCCUGAACCAGCCAUCCCGCGUGCAGGAAGACGGCCCUAUGGGUUGUAAACUGCUUUUACCCGGGAAGAAACCGCCCCCUGUGGGGGGCGUUGCCGGUACCGGGGGAAAAAGGAUCGGCUAACUCCGUGCCAGCAGCCGCGGUAAUACGGAGGAUGCGAGCGUUAUCCGGAUUCAUUGGGUUUAAAGGGUGCGUAGGCGGACUAUUAAGUCAGUGGUGAAAUCCUGCAGCUUAACUGCAGAACUGCCAUUGAUACUGAUAGCCUUGAGUUUGGUUAAGGUAGGCGGAAUGUGUAAUGUAGCGGUGAAAUGCUUAGAUAUUACACAGAACACCAAUUGCGUAGGCAGCUUACUGAGCCGACACUGACGCUGAGGCACGAAAGCGUGGGGAUCGAACA
rnacentral:rRNA from 1 species